CAGUCGCCGCGGUAAUACGAAGGGGGCUAGCGUUGCUCGGAAUGACUGGGCGUAAAGGGCGCGUAGGCGGAUUGUUUAGUUAGGCGUGAAAUCCCUGGGCUUAACCUGGGGACUGCGCUUAAUACAGGCAGUCUAGAGUGAGGAAGAGGGUUGUGGAAUUCCCAGUGUAGAGGUGAAAUUCGUAGAUAUUGGGAAGAACACCGGUGGCGAAGGCGGCAACCUGGUCCUUGACUGACGCUGAGGCGCGAAAGCGUGGGGAGCAAACAGGAUUAGAUACCCCAGUAGUCCCUGUCUCUUAUAC
rnacentral:rRNA from 1 species